rnacentral:rRNA from 1 species
UACGUAGGGUGCAAGCGUUAAUCGGAAUUACUGGGCGUAAAGCGUGCGCAGGCGGUUAUGCAAGACAGAUGUGAAAUCCCCGGGCUCAACCUGGGAACUGCAUUUGUGACUGCAUGGCUGGAGUGCGGCAGAGGGGGAUGGAAUUCCGCGUGUAGCAGUGAAAUGCGUAGAUAUGGGGCGGAACACCGGUGGCGAAGGCGGCCAUCUGGACGGUAACUGACGCUGAGCCGCGAAAGCGUGGGGAGCAAACAGG